GGGGGAGAGGCACGGAAAGGCCCGCAGCAGCGGAACUUACAGGAGAUCAGACAGAAGCGGAAGUGGUUUCGUGCCCUUCAAGUCCAGCACAGCCUUGCCUUGGGGCCUUCAGCUUAGGCACGGAAUCUUCUUUGGCCUGGAAUAGCCGUCCCAAAGACUGUCCCAUGAUUGGUUCCUUCACACCAUCUGCUUUAGCUCAGCAGGGCUUUCUCAGGAGUACAUCGCAUCUAGCCAAGCCGACCUUCCCGCUCUGUCAUGUCGGGCCGUUUCCUUGCCUUCUUGCACACAGCACUAUCUGAAAUAAUCUCCUUCCAGUCAUUCAGCACAUUCAUUGAGUGCCUGCUCGUAUGCCCUGUCUUAUGCACUUGGGAUAGAUCAAGGUACAAAUGCAACACCUUCUCUACCCUGGUGGAAUUUACAGGCCUUGUGAAUUACAUUGUUUCCUUUUUCAUCAUCCGCCUCUGGCUAAAAUGUAAGCUCUAGGGGAGCAGGGACCUCUGUCAGCCUUGUUCUCUACUUUUUCCCAAGAGCCUAGAACUGUGUCUGGUACAUCCUUCAUGGUCAAUCAAUAUUUGUGGAAUGAAUAAACAAAUGUUUAUAUUAACCAGG
rnacentral:lncRNA from 1 species